rnacentral:tRNA from 1 species
CCUUCGAUAGCUCAGUUGGUAGAGCGGUGGACUGUAGCAACGAGCGUGGAACGAUUGUGAGUUGGCAAUUGUGGUACCUUAAAUGCCUUCGAUCAACCGUCUCCAAUGUAGUUAGAAAUCCAUAGGUCACUGGUUCAAAUCCGGUUCGAAGGA